UUACGGUCAAACCACGCUGAAAACACCAGUUCUCGUUCGAUCACCGAACUUAAGCAUCGUAGAGCCAGGUCAGUACUUAAAUGGGGGACCGCCUGGGAACACCUGGUACUGUAAG
rnacentral:rRNA from 1 species